GUUGAAGAGAGACAUCCAUCAAAACAAGGAUUGAAAC
rnacentral:other from 1 species